AGUGAACGCUGGCGGCAGGCCUAACACAUGCAAGUCGAGCGGCAGCGGGGUCCCCGCGAGGGGAGUGCCGGCGAGCGGCGGACGGGUGAGGAACACAUCGGAAUCUGCCUGGUUGUGGGGGAGUAACGUAGGGAAACUUACGCUAAUACCGCAUGCGACCCUGAGUCGACGGACUUGGGGUGAAAGUGAGGGACCUUCGGCCGUCACGCGACCAGAUGAGCCGAUGUCGGAUUAGCUAGUUGGCGGGGUAACGGCCCGCCAAGGCGACGAUCCGUAGCUGGUCUGAGAGGAUGGUCAGCCACACUGGGACUGAGAUACGGCCCAGACUCCUACGGGAGGCAGCAGCAGGGAAUUUUG
rnacentral:rRNA from 1 species